UCCCUCGGGAGUUUUCCUUGGGGGAAACACCAAAAGGAACUGUUGUGGACUGCGUUCCCUAAGCCCUGCUUUCCCUGUGACACUAAUCCCUGCUGGAAUUCUUGUCUCUCUUAGUUUUGUCUGC